rnacentral:misc_RNA from 1 species
CAGUCGUAACAAGGUUUCCGUAGGUGAACCUGCGGAAGAUCAUUAACACAUAUCCAACAUUAAAACAACCCUGUGAACCUUCAAUCUUGCUCGUACCCAUGAAAGCAGCAAUCCCUGGUAAAUCAUUGCCGACCAGAUUUUGAGUCAGGGCCUCUGCCGAUCAGAGUUACGCUCGUAGCGAUGCAAACGACCUGACAUCCCAAGCAAUCAGAGUUCUGAAAGCGUCUUUGAUUGUAAGGGUGGCGCAAACACGAUCGUUGGAGGCCGACACGGCCGACGACCGGGUCCCACCAUGCUUAUCACCACACUAACGCCAACAGGUCGCGAUAACUCCGCUGACCACAAAAAACCAACUGUUAACAAUUGACAUCUUGGUUCUC